CCUACGGGCGACAGCAGUGAGGAAUAUUGGUCAAUGGACGAGAGUCUGAACCAGCCAAGUAGCGUGAAGGAUGACUGCCCUAUGGGUUGUAAACUUCUUUUAUAUGGGAAUAAAACGUUCCACGUGUGGGAUUUUGUAUGUACCAUAUGAAUAAGGAUCGGCUAACUCCGUGCCAGCAGCCGCGGUAAUACGGAGGAUCCGAGCGUUAUCCGGAUUUAUUGGGUUUAAAGGGAGCGUAGGUGGAUUGUUAAGUCAGUUGUGAAAGUUUGCGGCUCAACCGUAAAAUUGCAGUUGAAACUGGCAGUCUUGAGUACAGUAGAGGUGGGCGGAAUUCGUGGUGUAGCGGUGAAAUGCUUAGAUAUCACGAAGAACUCCGAUUGCGAAGGCAGUUCACUGGACUGCAACUGACACUGAGGCUCGAAAGUGUGGGUAUCAAACAGGAUUAGAUACCCCGGUAGUC
rnacentral:rRNA from 1 species